UACGUAGGGUGCGAGCGUUAAUCGGAAUUACUGGGCGUAAAGCGUGCGCAGGCGGUGAUGUAAGACCGAUGUGAAAUCCCCGGGCUUAACCUGGGAACUGCAUUGGUGACUGCAUUGCUGGAGUAUGGCAGAGGGGGGUGGAAUUCCACGUGUAGCAGUGAAAUGCGUAGAGAUGUGGAGGAACACCGAUGGCGAAGGCAGCCCCCUGGGCCAAUACUGACGCUCAUGCACGAAAGCGUGGGGAGCAAGCAGG
rnacentral:rRNA from 1 species